ensembl:misc_RNA Y_RNA Y RNA
GGCUUUUCCUUGCAGUGGUGUUUACAACUAAUUUAUCACGGCCAGUUACAGAUUUCUUUGUUCCUUCUCCAGUACCGCUCCUUCACUUGACCAGCCUUAA